rnacentral:rRNA from 1 species
CAGUAGCCGCGGUAACACGUAGGGUGCAAGCGUUAAUCGGAAUUACUGGGCGUAAAGCGUGCGCAGGCGGUUCUAUAAGACAGAUGUGAAAUCCCCGGGCUCAACCUGGGAACUGCAUUUGUGACUGUAGAGCUGGAGUGCGGCAGAGGGGGAUGGAAUUCCGCGUGUAGCAGUGAAAUGCGUAGAUAUGCGGAGGAACACCGAUGGCGAAGGCAAUCCCCUGGGCCUGCACUGACGCUCAUGCACGAAAGCGUGGGGAGCAAACAGGAUUAGAUACCCCUGUAGUCCCUGUCUCUUAUAC